ACAGAGGGUGCAAGCGUUAAUCGGAAUUACUGGGCGUAAAGCGCGCGUAGGCGGCCCGUUAAGUCGGUUGUGAAAGCCCUGGGCUCAACCUGGGAAUUGCAGUUGAUACUGGCGGGCUAGAGUGUGGGAGAGGGCAGUGGAAUUCCCGGUGUAGCGGUGAAAUGCGUAGAUAUCGGGAGGAACAUCAGUGGCGAAGG
rnacentral:rRNA from 1 species